rnacentral:rRNA from 1 species
AGGGAUUACCUCAGUAACGGCGAGUGAAGCGGUAACAGCUCAAAUUUGAAAUCUGGCUCUUUCAGGGUCCGAGUUGUAAUUUGUAGAAGAUGCUUCAGGUGUGGCUCCGGUCUAAGUUCCUUGGAACAGGACGUCAUAGAGGGUGAGAAUCCCGUAUGUGACUGGUUGCCUUCGCCUAUGUGAAGCUCUUUCGACGAGUCGAGUUGUUUGGGAAUGCAGCUCUAAAUGGGAGGUAAAUUUCUUCUAAAGCUAAAUAUUGGCCAGAGACCGAUAGCGCACAAGUAGAGUGAUCGAAAGAUGAAAAGCACUUUGGAAAGAGAGUUAAACAGUACGUGAAAUUGUUGAAAGGGAAGCGCUUGCAACCAGACUUGCCUGCCGUCGAUCAUCCUCCGUUCUCGGGGGUGCACUCGGCGGUGGUCAGGCCAGCAUCGGUUUCGGUGGUGGGAUAAAGACCUUGGGAAUGUAGCUCCUCUCGGGGAGUGUUAUAGCCCUCGGUGCAAUGCCGCCUACCGGGACCGAGGACCGCGCUUCGGCUAGGAUGCUGGCGUAAUGGUUGUAAGCGACCCGUCUUGAAACACGGACCAAGGAGUCUAACAUCUAUGCGAGUGUUUGGGUGUUAAACCCAUACGCGUAAUGAAAGUGAACGGAGGUGAGAACCCUUUAGGGUGCAUCAUCGACCGAUCCUGAUGUCUUCGGAUGGAUUUGAGUAAGAGCAUAGCUGUUGGGACCCGAAAGAUGGUGAACUAUGCCUAAAUAGGGUGAAGCCAGAGGAAACUCUGGUGGAGGCUCGCAGCGGUUCUGACGUGCAAAUCGAUCGUCAAAUUUGGGUAUAGGGGCGAAAGACUAA